rnacentral:rRNA from 1 species
CGGUCCAGACUCCUACGGGAGGCAGCAGUGGGGAAUAUUGCACAAUGGGCGCAAGCCUGAUGCAGCCAUGCCGCGUGUGUGAAGAAGGCCUUCGGGUUGUAAAGCACUUUCAGCGGGGAGGAAGGCGAUAAGGUUAAUAACCUCAUCGAUUGACGUUACCCGCAGAAGAAGCACCGGCUAACUCCGUGCCAGCAGCCGCGGUAAUACGGAGGGUGCAAGCGUUAAUCGGAAUUACUGGGCGUAAAGCGCACGCAGGCGGUCUGUCAAGUCGGA